AAGUUAAAAAAAAAAGAAAUAAAAUAUUUCCAAAAAAAAAAAAAAAAUGAAGAACUCACUACCCAUGUAAGGGACUCUGACCAGACCCAGAACCUCUGGUGGCUACCAGAUCAAGUGUUCAGCAUAUGCCGGUGCUGGUUCUGGCCCCUCUACAAAAUCUCCCCCCACCCAUCUCAGAGAGGGUCCUGGACACCAGGACUCCUCGAAUCCCUAGCAAUUCCCUUGUUUUUUUUUUGUUGUUGUUGUUUAUUUAGAUUUAUUUAUUUGAAAUUCAGAGUUACACAGAGAGAGAAGGAGAAGCAGAGAGAGAGAGCAAUUUCUUCCAUCUGCUGGUUCACUCCCCAGAUGGCCGCAACAGCUGGUUCUGCACAGAUCCGAAGCCAGGAGCCAGCAGCCUCCGCAUCUCCCACACAGGUGCAGAGGCCCAAGGACUUGGGCCAUCCUCCACUGCUUUCCCUCGCCACAGCGGAGAGCUGGAUUGGAAGUGGAGCAGCCAGGACUCAAACCAGUGCCCAUAUGGGAUACCAGCUAUGCCACAGUGCCAGCCCUGGUUUUUUGUUUUGUUUUGUUUUUUAAAGUCUUAUCAGAACAAAACUGAGGUGUUGAAAUUCCAGGGAAAGGAAGGAAUUUUCCAAGCAUAUCUGGAUGCCUGUGAAGGGAGAGCAUCCUGGAACCCAUACUUCCCUUUCUCUCAAGCAGGCUUCCAAGUAUCCGGUCAGGUUGCUUUGGAAAUGACAUUGAGAGAGAGGAAGCUCUGACCUCCACGCAGUGCAAUCAGGGAGAGGUCUCAGGCCCCAGUCCUCUCACCACCCACACGGCUUCUCUGCAAGUACACAUUUAUUUUACUUAGCUCAGAGCUCCCAACAAAAUCAUUCAUACAAAGACGUACUCAAAGGACAUCAAAUUAUUACAAACUUCCCUUCAAGUUCAAUUUUACAACAGACUAUUAGAAUAGUUGGUACUUUUGAUCGAUUUUUAGUAUAGAAAAACACAUGUUUACUGUCAGCCAUCUUUAGUUUAUGGUACACUGCUAACUAUACAUUGUUGUAAGUAUACAAGAGAUUUUUACAACUUGUUAAUCUUGAAUGAUUGAAAUUAUGUCCAAUGAACAAUCCCCUGGUUCUCCCUCCUAUGAGCCCUUCACAGUCACCAUUCCACUUUCUGAGACAACUUCAGAUACCUUGUGCAAACAGAAUCAGGAAGUAUUUGUGUUUUUGUGAUGGGCUUACUUCACUUAGCAUAAUGUCUUCAAGGUUCAUCUACGCUGUGUAGUAUAUGACAGAAUUUCCUUCUUUUAAGGUUGACUAAUACUCCAUCAGAAACUGAAUUGUUGAGCUGAAAUGAAUUGAGCACUGAAUUAACAUGUGCCAGACACUGUGCCUGGCCUCAAGAAACCACAGCUUCCAUCAGUUCCCUCUGAUGGAAAUAUACAUGAGUCACAUGUGGAACUUCAAAUGACCUAAUAGCCAUGAAAAAGAAAUAGUAAAAAUUAAUAAUGCAUUUUAAAAACAACAUAUCUAAAAUAUAUUUCUGCUUGUAAUCAAUAUAAAAAUCACUAAUGGGGACCAGCAUGGUG
rnacentral:lncRNA from 1 species